UACGUAGGGGGCAAGCGUUGUCCGGAUUUAUUGGGCGUAAAGAGCGUGUAGGCGGCCAUGCAGGUCCGUUGUGAAAACUCGAGGCUCAACCUCGAGACGUCGAUGGAAACCGCAUGGCUAGAGUCCGGAAGAGGAGAGUGGAAUUCCUGGUGUAGCGGUGAAAUGCGCAGAUAUCAGGAGGAACACCAAUGGCGAAGGCAGCUCGCUGGGACGUGACUGACGCUGAGACGCGAAAGCGUGGGGAGCAAACAGG
rnacentral:rRNA from 1 species